AUACCGGCUGCUCGAGUGCUGGCCACUAUUACUGGGUUUAAAGCGUCCGUAGCUUGACUGUUAGGUCUCUUGGGAAAUCUUUUGGCUUAACCAAAAGGCGUCUAAGAGAUACCGGCAUUCUUGGAACUGGGAGAGGUAAGCCGUACUUCGGGGGUAGGAGUGAAAUCUUGUAAUCCUCGAGGGACGACCUAUGGCGAAGGCAGCUUACCAGAACAGCUUCGACAGUGAGGGACGAAAGCUGGGGGAGCAAACGGGAUUAGAUACCCCGGUAGUCCCAGCCGUAAACAAUGUGCGUUAGGUGUGUCGGUUACCACGCGUAACUGAUGCGCCGAAGAGAAAUCGUGAAACGCACCACCUGGGAAGUACGGUCGCGAGGCUGAAACUCAAAGGAAUUGGCGGGG
rnacentral:rRNA from 1 species